rnacentral:pre_miRNA from 1 species
UAACCUCCGCAGGCUGGCCGGCCCCCAGGCUGGGCUGGGCGAGUAUCUCUUAGAGAGGCUCACCCUCAAGCACGACUAGGAGC